GGUUGCCGUACGUUGACUUGAACCCCGAAACUUGAAUCUGGGAGUUGCCCUUGGUCCUGGACCAAGUGGAUUGAGGCAUUCUACUGUGUACCAAGUUGUGGGAUAAGCUGCUGCGGAGCUUGUGAAAAUAACAUUUAAGGAUGUACCUGUAGCGUUGGAGCAGCGGGCAAGAGGCCCGCAGGGUGAUAGAGGAACAUUUUCAGUAUUUGGCAUAUUGUUCAUGUUGGCAUGCCUAGGUCUAGUAGUUUGUAUCAUUUAAAUUUAUGUCUAAAUUUGUAAUUGGUGUUGUAAUAUUGUAAAAGGCAAUUUGAAGUUAAAGUCGUAAGUUGUAAUAUUUAAGUGUAUGUUGUAAAUGUAAGAGAGGCAUGAUGUACCAAGAUGGAAGGAUUUUAGGCCUAUGUUAGAGUUAUGAUUACAUGCUUAUAUUGUGAAACUACAUGUGAA